AUUGCCCCAGUAACGGCGAGUGAAGCGGCAACAGCUCAAAUUUGAAAUCUGGCCCUCGGGGCCCGAGUUGUAAUUUGCAGAGGAUGCUUUUGGCGCGGUGCCUUCUAAGUUCCCUGGAACGGGACGCCAUAGAGGGUGAGAGACCCGUACGGUUGGACACCAAGCCUUUGUAAAGCUCCUUCGACGAGUCGAGUAGUUUGGGAAUGCUGCUCUAAAUGGGAGGUAUAUUUCUUCUAAAGCUAAAUACCGGCCAGAGACCGAUAGCGCACAAGUAGAGUGAUCGAAAGAUGAAAAGCACUUUGAAAAGAGGGUUAAACAGCACGUGAAAUUGUUAAAAGGGAAGCGCUUGUGACCAGACUUGCGCCCGGUGAAUCACCCAGCUCUCGCGGCUGGGGCACUUUGCCGGCUCAGGCCAGCAUCAGCUCGCUGUCGGGGACAAAAGCUUCGGGAACGUGGCUCUCUUCGGGGAGUGUUAUAGCCCGUUGCACAAUACCCUUCGGCGGGCUGAGGUACGCGCUCCGCAAGGAUGCUGGCGUAAUGGUCAUCAGCGACCCGUCUUGAAACACGGACCAAGGAGUCAACCUUAUGUGCGAGUGUUCGGGUGUCAAACCCCUACGCGUAAUGAAAGUGAACGCAGGUGAGAGCUUCGGCGCAUCAUCGACCGAUCCUGAUGUUCUCGGAUGGAUUUGAGUAAGAGCAUAUAGGGUUGGACCCGAAAGAAGGUGAACUAUGCGUGUAUAGGGUGAAGCCAGAGGAAACUCUGGUGGAGGCUCGCAGCGGUUCUGACGUGCAAAUCGAUCGUCAAAUAUGCGCAUGGGGGCGAAAGACUAAUCGAACCUUCUAGUAGCUGGUUUCCGCCGAAGUUUCCCUCAGGAUAGCAGUGUUGAGCUCAGUUUUAUGAGGUAAAGCGAAUGAUUAGGGACUCGGGGGCGCUAUAUUGCCUUCAUCCAUUCUCAAACUUUAAAUAUGUAAGAAGCCCUUGUUACUUAGUUGAACGUGGGCAUUCGAAUGUAUCAACACUAGUGGGCCAUUUUUGGUAAGCAGAACUGGCGAUGCGGGAUGAACCGAACGCGAGGUUAAGGUGCCAGAGUAGACGCUCAUCAGACACCACAAAAGGUGUUAGUACAUCUUGACAGCAGGACGGUGGCCAUGGAAGUCGGAAUCCGCUAAGGACUGUGUAACAACUCACCUGCCGAAUGUACUAGCCCUGAAAA
rnacentral:rRNA from 1 species